UUGGGAGGGAUUUCUCUUGGCAUAUCUAAAUAGUGGCCAGUUUCCAGGAAAAGUGUGCCUCUUGAGAGAGAUUUCCUUUGGCAGAUCGCCCAAGUGUUACGUUGUACUAUUCCAAUAAUCCAACUAAUAAUAAAGAUUUUCGUGCCAUCAAUUUUGAAGAUUUAUCUUUCAAAUUUCCGCGUGAGGUUCUAAAUCGUCCUAGGUUUAUGUACGAAUUUCAUCUUUGUUUAUGGCACUCUCGUUCAAUAGGUUAUAAAAUCAGCUAAUUCAGAGAUGUGGAAAGGGAGUCUCUGUGUGAAUUAUUAAUGGAAAAUCAGGAAUAGAUUAGAAAGUCUAAUAUUUCGCUGUGAGAUUCAUUGUAUGGAAAGUAAUAAAGUAUAAAAAUUAUUUUCUAUUGUCGUGAAGGAUUCAACAUCAAAUUCAAUUUGAAUUAUAACGAUUUUUAUGAAUCGUUUGUAUUAGAUAUUAUUUAAUAUUCCUUAUUUAUUAUGUCAGAAACAGCGGUAAAACAUUAUAUUGAAGGUCUUCAGGCUGAUGCUUAAAAUCCUUAAAUAUAAAAUGGCACAAUAAAGUUAGUUCUGACAAAAAUUUUAAACAAGACAUGAAGAACCACAAUGGCAAUGCAAUGAAUAUUAUAAAUAUCAGGACCAUGUUAUGUUACUUUGGAUCCGGGUGCAAGAAGAAAUCGGGUCUUCUUUUUAUUUGAGGAAUAGGAUUGGUUACGUAUUAUUUAUUUAUUAUAUAUUGUUGGAUUCAAGGAUGUAUUAAUAAACCAUGAUAUUAGAAUGUCGGUCGGAAACCUGCUGAUUAGGGGCCAAAAGGUCCGAAACACAAAGAUAUCGUGUAUGUGUUCAGUUGAUAAAUAAAAGACUAUUUUUCUGAUUUGAUUAUUUAACUUGCAGAACCAGUUAUCUAGUAUAAUAAGUCCUAGUAAUAAAUUAAGUCCUAGUUGACAAUUUAAGCAUAAAUAUAAUAUAGUCGACCCCCUAUAACACUUGAU